rnacentral:lncRNA from 1 species
GGAUGCGUGAGGUCAGGAAGGAGGCAGAGGCUGAGAAGAGGAACUGGGAGAGGCUCAGGACUGGAAUGAAGUCAGCCACCAGGAUGAGCCACUGGUCAUUCCGAAGCAAGGAUGGAGGAUGCAGGUUUCUCUCUCAUCUCCUUCUCCAGCAACCUUGGCCAUGGACCAGCCGGCUGGCCUGCAGGUGGACUACGUCUUCCGGGGUGUGGAGCAUGCCGUGCGGGUGAUGGUUUCUGGGCAGGUGCUGGAGCUGGAGGUGGAGGACCGGAUGACGGCUGACCAGUGGCGGGGCGAGUUCGAUGCUGGCUGUGAGUGUGCCUGCCUGGGGUGGGCUCACCUUUCCUCUCCUGGGAUCAGCUUCUCCCAG